rnacentral:rRNA from 1 species
UGGGGAAUAUUGGACAAUGGGCGCAAGCCUGAUCCAGCCAUGCCGCGUGAGUGAUGAAGGCCCUAGGGUUGUAUAGCUCUUUCACCGGUGAAGAUAAUGACGGUAACCGGAGAAGAAGCCCCGGCUAACUUCGUGCCAGCAGCCGCGGUAAUACGAAGGGGGCUAGCGUUGUUCGGAUUUACUGGGCGUAAAGCGCACGUAGGCGGACUUUUAAGUCAGGGGUGAAAUCCCGGGGCUCAACCCCGGAACUGCCUUUGAUACUGGAAGUCUUGAGUAUGGUAGAGGUGAGUGGAAUUCCGAGUGUAGAGGUGAAAUUCGUAGAUAUUCGGAGGAACACCAGUGGCGAAGGCGGCUCACUGGACCAUUACUGACGCUGAGGUGCGAAAGCGUGGGGAGCAAACAGG